rnacentral:rRNA from 1 species
UACGUAGGGGCUAGCGUUGUCCGGAUUUAUUGGGCGUAAAGAGCGUGUAGGCGGCCGUACAGGUCAGCUGUGAAAACUCGAGGCUCAACCUCGAGACGUCGGUUGAAACCGUACGGCUAGAGUCCGGAAGAGGAGAGUGGAAUUCCCGGUGUAGCGGUGAAAUGCGCAGAUAUCGGGAAGAACACCCGUGGCGAAGGCGGCUCUCUGGGACGGUACUGACGCUGAGACGCGAAAGCGUGGGGAGCGAACAGG